rnacentral:rRNA from 1 species
UACGUAUGGUGCAAGCGUUAUCCGGAUUUACUGGGCGUAAAGGGAGCGCAGGCGGCGCGCCAAGUCUGAUGUGAAACCCCGGGGCUCAACCCCGGGCAUGCAUUGGAAACUGGCGGGCUGGAGUGCCGGAGAGGUAAGCGGAAUUCCUAGUGUAGCGGUGAAAUGCGUAGAUAUUAGGAGGAACACCAGUGACGAAGGCGGCUUACUGGACGGCAACUGACGUUGAGGCUCGAAAGCGUGGGGAGCAAACAGG